rnacentral:rRNA from 1 species
CACGUAGGGUGCGAGCGUUGUCCGGAAUUAUUGGGCGUAAAGAGCUCGUAGGCGGUGUGUCGCGUCGGCCGUGAAAACCUGCAGCUUAACUGUGGGCUUGCGGUCGAUACGGGCAUCACUGGAGUUCGGCAGGGGAGACUGGAAUUCCUGGUGUAGCGGUGAAAUGCGUAGAUAUCGAGAGGAACACCUGCGGCGAAGGCGGGCUGCUGGGCUGACACUGACGCUGACAGCGCGAAAGCUAGGGGAGCGAACGGG